UCCUAGCCGUAAACGAUGGGCACUAAGUAGAGGGGUUUUAGAUCUCUCUGCCGGAGCUAACGCAUUAAGUGCCCCGCCUGGGGAGUACGGCCGCAAGGCUAAAACUCAAAAGAAUUGACGGGGGCUCGCACAAGCGGUGGAGCAUGUGGCUUAAUUCGAUGCAACGCGAAGAACCUUACCGGGGUUUGACAUGGUAGAAGUAGAAGCCUGAAAGGGUAACGAACGGUAUCCAGUCCGUGACUAUCACAGGUGUUGCAUGGCUGUCGUCAGCUCGUGUCGUGAGACGUUGGGUUAAGUCCCCUAACGAGCGAAACCCUUGUCUUUAGUUGCCAUCAGGUAAUGCUGGGUACUCUAAAGAGACUGCCGUCGUUAAGACGGAGGAAGGUGGGGACGACGUCAAGUCAUCAUGGCCCUUAUAUCCC
rnacentral:rRNA from 1 species